GGUUCGAUUAUGGCUCAGAUUGAACGCUGCGGGAUGUUUUACACAUGCAAGUCGAACGGCACGGACUUCGGUCUGGUGGCGAGUGGCGAACGGGUGAGUAAUGUAUCGGAACGUCAUAGUGGGGAUAACUACGCGAAAGGUAGCUAAUACCGCAUACGCCCUUCGUAGGGAAAGUAACCUCGGGCCUCGCACUAUUAGAGCGGCCGAUAUCGGAUUAGCUAGUUGGUGGGGUAACGGCUCACCACAAGCGACGAUCCGUAGCUGGUUUGAGAGAGGACGACCAGCCACACUGGGACUGACAACGACUCCUACGGGAGGCAGCAAAAUUUUGACAAUGGGGAAACCCUGAUCCAGCCAUCCUGCGUGCGAUGAAGGCCUUCGGCCGUAAAGCACUUUUGGCAGGAAAGAAACGGCACGGAUAAUACCCCGUGCAACUGACGUACCUGCAGACAAGCACCGGCUAACUGAUGCUUGCAGCCGCGGUAAUACGUAGGGUGCAAGCGUUAAUCGGAAUUACUGGGCGUAAAGCGUGCGCAGGCGGUUCGGAAAGAAAGAUGUGAAAUCCCAGAGCUUUUAACUUUGGAACUGCAUUUUUAACUACCGAGCUAGAGUGUCAGAGGGAGGUGGAAUUCCGCGUGUAGCAGGAAAUGCGUAGAUAUGCGGAGGAACACCGAUGGCAGCCUCCUGAUAACACUGACGCUCAUGAAAGCGUAGGGAGCAACAGAUUAGAUACCCCGGUAGUCCACGCCCUUAAACGAUGUCAACUAGCUGUUGGGGCCUUCGGGCCUUGCGCAGCUAACGGGUGUGAAGUUGACCGCCUGGGGAGUACGACCGCAAGAUUAAAACUCAAAGGAAUUGACGGGGACCCGCACAAGCGGUGGAUGAUGCGGAUGAAUCUGAUGCAACGCGAAAAACCUUACCUUACCUUGAUGUCUGGAAUCCCGAAGAGAUUUGGAAGCUCGCGAACCGGAACACAGGUGCCGUAUGGCUGGCCGUCAGCUCGUGUCGAGACAAGGUUGUUCCGCAACGAGCGCAACCCUUGUCAUUAGUUGCUACGAAAGGGCACUCUAAUGAGACUGCCGGUGACAAACCGGAGGAAGGUGGGGAUGACGUCAAGUCCUCAUGGCUCUGCGGGUAGGUCACACGUCAUACAAUGGUCGGGACAGAGUGGUCGCCAACCCGCGAGGGGGAGCCAAUCCCAGAAACCCGAUCGUAGUCCGAUCGCAGUCUGCAACCCGACUGCGUGAAGUCGGAAUCGCUAGUAAUCGCGGACCAGCAUGUCGCGGUGAAUACGUUCCCGGCUCCGAACACACCGCCCGUCACACCAUGGGAGUGGGUUUUACCAGAAGUAGUUAGCCUAACCGUAAGGAGGGCGAUUACCACGGUAGAUUCAUGACUGGGUGAAGUCGUAACAAGCGUAG
rnacentral:rRNA from 1 species